CCAGCCUGCUUCCCCUUGCCUUCCGCCACGAUUGAAAGUCUCCUGAGGCCUCCCAGAAGCCAAGCAGACGCCAGCAUCAGGCUUCCCCUGCAGCCUGAGGAACCGUGAGCCAAUUCAGCCUCCUUUCUGUAUCAAGUACCCAGUCUCAGACACAUGGGUCCCACCCUCCUGUCUAAAUUUUGGCUAUCAGCUCAUCCUGCCACCUCUCCCUCCCCAUUCCUGGUUUCUCUCAACAGGAGGAGGAGCAGGGGCUUCUGCAUCAAAGGCCGGCUUUGGCAGGACGGGCUGGCCAAGAGCAACCGAUUGUCAAGGUAAGAGGCCGAUAGCUGUCGGGCACGGAGCUGGUGGGUGCCAGGCUGGCGGGGCAUGGGGUAAGCCUCUGGGAAGGGACUGAUGAGAGAGCAGCGGGAGGACCAGAGGCGAUGAUGAAGGCAGGGAGGGAGUGGGAUGGGGUCAGCAGCAACAGCGACCCCAACCUGAGCCGCCCUGACCCAGCUCUCUGACCCCUGUCCAGGGACAGGUGGGUGCGGGGUGUGAGCAGAGAGGACAGAGGCAGGUGUGGCCGUGGGCAGGGUGGCCUCUCUAAGGCCACCCAGGGUAGUGGGGGAUCUAUUUGCAGGACCGAGUCAUGGGCAGCCUGGGCCAGCCAGGGAGGCCCUGCCAGUGGGGAAGGAGGUGGCUGCUCCGACGGCUGGGCCAGAGGUGUCCCCUGAUGUCCGUGAAUGGUCUGGCAACCAAGAAAGCGGCUGCUCUUCCUCCUCCACACAGCUACCUUGGUGAGCGAGACGGGACAGAUCAGGGAUGGGGCAGGCGCAGGAAGCCCAGCUCUCAGGCAGGUGAAGGGGGCGGGUCCAGGAGGGGGUGUGAGGCUCGCUGGGAGGCCCCGGGAAUGCGCGCGACUGCAGGCCGGCUGCCCACCCGUGCCACCUGCCCUCUCCCCCCGGGCCCUCGGCCCAGCUCCCGGUGGCCGCGAGCAUGUCCCGCAGCUCGGAGAUGCUGCUUAGCGGGGCGCCCCGUCAUUGGUCGUGCGCCUGCUCAGUCUGGGGCAGGGGCUGGGACAGCAUCUUUAAUCCCUGGUGCCGGUGCGGGGAUUAGGGCAACGUGGAGUGAGUGAGUGAAGGGAUGGCGCCGUGAGCCCUCAGCGCGGGGAGACACACGCCGCCGGGCCGGGGCGCCAGGAGCGGGGGUGGCGGGGAGGGGAGGGAGAGAAGGUUGAUGACGUCAGUGGUUCCAGUUCCGCAGCAGCGGAGGCCAGAGGGGGACGGGAGACACCAGCUGACGCCCAGAGCCUCACAACCUCUGGACACACAUUCUCCCGAGGGCCAGUGCCUGGAAACAAAGGCCACCCCCGCCGGCCGGAAACUUCUAGGCUGGCAAUGGAGAUGGGACAUCCGGUGACCCCCUCUGUAUCCUCCUCUCCCCUGGGGUCCUCCAGGAAGGCCUGCGUGAUCGAUGACCCACUUUGUUGUGUUUUGUUUUGUUUUUGAGAUGGCCUCUUUUUCUGUCUCCCAGGCUGGGGUGCAGUGGUGCGACCUCGACUCACUGCAACCUCUGCCUCCCGGGUUCAAGCAAUUCCCCUGCCCCAGCCUCCCGCGUAGCUGGGACU